UACGUAGGGGGGCAAGCGUUGUCCGGAUUUAUUGGGCGUAAAAGAGCGUGUAGGCGGCCAGGGUAGGUCAGCUGUGAAAACUCGAGGCUCAACCUCGAGACGUCGGUUGAAACCAUCUGGCUAGAGUCCGGAAGAGGAGAGUGGAAUUCCUGGUGUAGCGGUGAAAUGCGCAGAUAUCAGGAAGAACACCCGUGGCGAAGGCGGCUCUCUGGGACGGUACGUGACGCUGAGACGCGAAAGCGUGGGGAGCGAACAGG
rnacentral:rRNA from 1 species